GGCGGAGGUUCAAUCUUGUUCAUCUUAGCUGCUUCUCUGACUAUGGCCUCAGCCUCCUUUAUUCUCCCCUGAGAGAGUAGCCAUCGAGGAGACUCUGGGAUGAACCUGUUAUUCGACAACAGAGUGGACACACGUUCAAUCCAAACAGACAAUGACUUUUGUACAGUUGUUUCGCCAGAAUGAUGCCACUGCAGAAGACUGAUUUUCAUUCAUGUUAAAAGAGAGUUGUCCUGAAAUGAAGGACCCGGUGAGGACUCCGCAGAAGAAGACAGAAGAAGUCAGGGGGUUCUUCCAGCUGUUGUCACACACCAGGUCCCACUGCAAAAACACAAACACAAACACACACGUU